rnacentral:lncRNA from 1 species
GGUGCCACCACAUCUCUCCUAUCCAGAAGGAGUUGGAGCCAUGUGGGCUCCAGACAUAAAUGGUACUACUGAGGCUGCAGCUCCCCUUCUCCUCCCCUGCUGCUGCCUUGCAAUUUCUGGCCAGAGACUCUCACUGUGCAAAUGUGCCAAAACUCCUCCAUAAGGGAGCAAGAGCUAUGCAGCCUGCAUGAGUCAGCCUCCCCAACCACAGAGGUGGAACUGGGAGGAAAGGGUCCAGGUCAGACUAACCCAGGACUAGCACAGAACUCCAGGAAUUACAACAGAUAUCCACCAUUUGACUUCCUGUAAGUCUCAUAAGGUUGCCACUCAAAAGACCUCACUUGCUCUCCAGUGAAAGAGCUGUACACACCACCUGAGCAAGGCCAGCGAGACCGACUCUCCCAAGAAGAUGAACUAGCACAGGAGAAGUGACACGAUAUGACUUCUGAGGCUAGCUUAUACAAAUGUCAUGCAUUUCUACCUCGUGCUUUGAGGAUACUCGCUGUUGCAACCCAGUCACCGUGCUGUAAAGAAGCCCAAACAGCUACUUGGAGAGACAUCGGGUACCACAGAGCCUCACCCAAGAUCUCAGCUGACAGCCAGCAUCAACCGCCAGACAUAUGAGUGCACAAGCUUUCAAAUGAUUCCAGCCUUCAGCCGCCAAGUCACCCUCAGGCUUUGAGCCCUUUCCAGCUGAGGUUCCAGACAUCCUGGAACAGAGACAAGGCAUCCCCACUGAGCCCUUCCUGAUUUCUGAUACACAGAAUCCAUAAACACAAUAAGAUGGUUGUUAUUUAUACUGCUGUGUUUAGGCUGGUUUGUUACUCAACAGUAGUAACUGGAAUGGGUCAUCACUGGAGAAGAGAAUGAAGAAUGAGACCUGGAGGAGUCCUAAUAUAUUAAGAUUUGCCAAGUACCACCACCCUCGCUUCUGUAUCUCACGGUGUCAAAGAGCUCUCACCACAGCGUAUCACCAAGCCUUUACCUGGGAAUUGUGUGUAUCCAUCUCCAGCCAGUGGCAGGGCUGGGAAUACCAUUUGGCAAUGUGUUGCUGUGAAGGAAACAAAGUGAUCAAAUAAAGAAUGACUGAAGGGAGGGGUGGAAAGUGACCUGUGUUAGAAAUCACAACAGAAAACGCCUCUAGGAUGAGGUGGCAUUAAAGCUGAAACAAGAGGAUGAGAAGAAGCAAACCUGAAAAAGAGGAAGAAUAACACCAAUGCAAGAAGCAACUCCCUACCCAAAAGCCCACAGUGGGUAACCUUAUAGCAUACCUGGCUGAACGGUUGAAUACCAGUGUGGAGGAGGUAGACAUAACAUACAGUUGGGCAGAUCUUUAUAGGGACCAGAAUCCACAAGCCUAAGAGAUUUGAUUUUAUUUUAGAUGCAAGUGAAAGCUAUUAAAUGGUUUUGAAAAGAUAGCUGAAAUGAUCAGAUUCAUGUGGGAUACCAGGCUGUUUGAGUAGAACAAGGGAGAAAGAACAGUGGCGUACACUAAGAUGGCAAUGAGUAUGGAGAAAUAGAUAUAAAAUAUAUAUGUGUGUGUACAUACGUCUAUAUACACGCACACUUUGAGACAGAUUCCAGAAAACGUAAUGAUACAGUCUGGGCAGAAAGUGAGGAAAAGUAGGGACUCAGGGACCGUGCCUAGGUUUUUGUUUGAAGUUAGCAUGUGAACAGUUAGAAUGGAACAGUUUGGAAGGUGGAAUUAUUGAAGUUUUCAUUUAGACAUCGUAAUUGUGGAGACGUCAACCAGUGUUUCUCAAACUUCCCCAAUGAACAGAAUCAUCUGGGGAGCUUAUUACAUAUAUGGAUUAUCAGGUUUUCUGCUGGAAAUUCUGGAUCGGUAGGUCCGAGUUGAGCACAAAGUACUGGAUUUUCUUCACUCUCGGUGGGUAAUAUGCAGCUACCAAAAGAAAGAGAAUGAGGAAGAUCUCUAUCAACUGAUAUAGAGCAAUUUCCAAGAUAUGUUAAAGGCAAAAUUCAAAAGAGUAUCUAUGGUAUGCUAUUUUUCAUGUAGGAAGAAGGGACUAUAAGAAAAUACACACGUAUCUGUGCAAAAAAGAAAUGCAGGAAGGAUAAACCAGAAACCAGUGCAACUGAUUAUCUACAGGAAGCAGAUGGGAACUGGGAGGAAAGGAAGGAAGGACGGGAAUGGUGUAGAAGGGACGAGAAAGAGAUGAUACCUAAGUAUACCUUUCUGUAUACUUUUGAUUAAAACUGAACAGUUUUCACAUACCCAAGUAAAUAAUUAAAAUCAAGAAGCAUUUGGAAGGAUCCCAAAAUGGAACACAAACAGUAACAGGUGAACCUAACUUUACUACAAACACAUUAACAAAAUCACACUGGAGGAAGGGGGAAGAACUAACCUCGGAAAGAACUUUGGAAAAUAGUAUUUUAAUAUAGUGCAAAUAACCAUACACUUAAUAUAUACUACUAAUAAUAUUUAAUAAUAUUAAUAAUACAUUUAUAACUAAUCAUCAUAAUAAGGCUAAAGACAGAAAGAAUUGUACACAGAUAUUGAACUUGUUAGUAAAUUUAUUUUUCACAGGGGCAGAAGUUAACGAUUUUUAAAUAUUUUAUGUGUAUUCUAGAACUGAGCAAAUACAUAAAUGGAUUGUAGAUAAUGAGAAUCAGGUUUCUAAUUGUUAAAGAAAGGAGUUACAAGUAAGUAUAAGGUAAAGGAGGCUAGAAUAAACCCUAUGGUGUUGGAUUGGAAUCAAGGUAUCAGUUUGAACUCAUUCUCAAUUUGAACUCGUGUGUGUGUGUGUGCGCGCGCACGCAUGUGAACACACCCGGACUGAUACAUACAAAAAUAGAAGGAGAUAUUUGUACGUGUGGAUGUAUUCAGAUAUAUUUUCUUAGCUCUGUCUGCUGAAAGGGCAAUGGGGAAGCCUGGGUAGCAAUGAGUACACCUCAUACCAAGAUGCUGGUUUGUAAAUACCAUUAUUUAAGGCAAGGAAUAACAACUCCAUGGAGAAAUGACUGAUCCAAGGCUAGGACAGGGGAAAGUAAAAGAUGGGUCUGGAGCAUUUUUUGUGGUGCCAGAAAGUAAGCUACUACUCAAAAAAUUAUAUGGCUAUGUAGCAAAAACAAGAAAGACAGCUUGAAGGAGUACCAAUCACCAAAUCUGGAACAAUUUGAGAGACAAAAUAAUUAAUGCUAGUGAUGGCUUUUAACCCAUAGAACAAAAUAAAUAUCCACAAGUUUAUACCGAUAUAUGUAAAUAAAUAACCGAAUAAACGCAUAAACGAAGGAGAAGGAACAGCUCUUCGUUACAAUCAGAUCAUAGUUAAUAAAUAUAGAAGGAAUCAUGGAAAUAGAUGAUGAUCAUUUGCAGUAAUUAUUGGAGUCAGGAAUUAUUAAUGGAUACUAAAAUUGGUGUGGGGAAAAGAAACAAGAGCAGAAAUAUUUGAGCAAUCUCAAAUAAUUACAAGGGGAAAAAUAGUAACUUUGCAGUUAUCAUUAUAACCAAGUCAAGUUAGCAUCACCAGUAAUGAAACAUGGAUUUCUUGUGCCUCCUAAUACAGUACACUGAAAAGGACAUAACAUCACUUCUGUGGUAUUCUUGUGAAGAAACACAUAACCUCAGUCUAGCCAUGAGAAAACACCACGGAAACUCAAAUUGAGCAACAUUCUGCAAAAUAACGGGCUAGGAAUCUUCAUUAGUUUAAGGUCAUGAAAGAAAAGAAAGACUGAGGAGCUAUUCUAGAAAAGAAUGAGGAGAUUUGGCAAAUAAAUGCAAUAAAGGAUCCUGGAUUUGAACCUGGACCAGGGGAUCAUAGGAAAUAUUUUCACAUGAGUCUGUUAAUUAGUUAACAGUAUUGUGUCAAUGUAAACCUUCUGGUUUCAAAAUUAUACGGUGGCAAUAUAAUCUGUUAACAUUUGGGAAAGCUGGGUAAAGUGUAUAUGCGAACUCAUGCUGUUAAUGUUUAAAGUUUUUUGGUAAACUAACUCUGAUAAUGCAGUUCUGUGAAAAACUUAGUUUGGAUGUUUCUGAGCCUCUUUUUCGUAUCCCCAUAAAAGAAAGCUCCUCGUUUAGGAAUAAUACUGGUUCAAUGGGGAAGAUAAGAUUUACACAGGUUCAAUCCUAACACUCAGAUAGUAUGGAGUAGGAACAAUCAACUUUGAAUGCCAUUUCGUGACAUUAUAUACUUAAGUGUCAUAAUAAGUAGAAUGCAUAGACUACACAAACUUACAAGUUGAAAAACCAUAGACUCAUAGAAUUGUCUUGUAAUAAAGGCUCUUACUCUUCCAACACCUUAGCUUCAACCUCUGCUAAAAUACUUCAGUGAUAGGGAGUUCAUCAUUUUAAAAUGCAGUCUAUUUUAUUGUUCAAAGGUUCUACUUGUUAAAAUGUUCAUCUUUUUAUCAACCAAAACCUGGUUAAUUGGUCGAAAAUCUUCAGUGUGGAACAGUCUAAUUCCUUUUUCACAGGACAACUCCUAAAAUACUUCAGAACCACCUCCUGGCUCCUUCUGAGUCUUGUCUCACCUCAUCUAUUCCUAGUUCCUUCAGUUACUUCUUAUAUAUCUUAGAUCCCAAACACUUCACUGCACUGAUCACUUUCUUCAGCAUAACUCAUUUGUUCAAUGUGGUACUUUAAGCCUGAAAGGAGUUGUUUACUGUUAUCUGUAAAAAAUUCAGACAUAAAAUUUCCAAUCAGCCAAUAAUGCUUCACCUAACAUGAUCUAUAUACACCACUUGAUAAGCAAAAUUAAAAAUUCCAGAUCAUUUCAUUCGUACAGAGUAAUCUUAGGAUGUCCUUGUCUCUAAUGUGCAGGCAAUGUGAAUUUUCUUUGUGUGCCUCUGUAACUUUGCUCUAUUGCAGGCUACCAGAGGAUGCUCCAGUGAUGCUGCCUAACAGUGAUAUGUAUGUGAUACCUGCUAUGUACUAACAAAUGAGACAUUCAAAGGGAUCCUUUGUUCCCAAGAGACAUAAAUAUACGAAUUUUUAUUCUCUACUUUUUGUGUAUUUCUCAUUUUUAUUAUUCAUCUAUGAGCCCUUAAGUGCAUUCACCAAACUGCAUCAUAAACAUCAAAAUAGAUUACUUCACUUUACCUUUUAUGAGAUUAUUAUACUUAUCCACCAAUAUUUGAGCCCUUAGUCUGGGCAAAUCAUCCUAGCCAGUGAAGUGCAGAGGUUCAGAGCAUGGAG